rnacentral:misc_RNA from 1 species
GACGAACCGUGCGAACGUUAUUCGGAAUCACUGGGCUUAAAGAGCACGUAGGCGGCGUCGUAAGUUGGAGGUGAAAUCCUAUCGGCUCAACCGUGGGACUGCUUCCAAUACUGCGAUGCUUGAGGGAGAUAGGGGCAUGUGGAACUUCCAGUGGAGCGGUGAAAUGUGUUGAGAUUGGAAGGAACGCCGGUGGCGAAAGCGACAUGCUGGAUCUCAUCUGACGCUGAGGUGCGAAAGCUAGGGGAGCGAACGGG